rnacentral:rRNA from 1 species
CGCGGUAAUACUAGCAGAACGAGUGGUAUCCACGAAUAUUGGGUCUAAAGAGUCCGUAGCGGGCCGGUUAAGUCCACUGUGAAAUCCAACAGCUCAACUGUUGGGCGUGCAGUGGAUACUGGCUGGCUUGGGAGUGGGGGAGGCAGGGAGUACUUGCGGGGUAGUGGUAAAAUAUUGUAAUCCUGCAAGGACUACCAGUGGCGAAGGCGCCCUGCCAAAACACGUCCGACCGUGAGGGACGAAGGCUAGGAGAACGAAUCGGAUUAGAUACCCGAGUAGCCCUAGCAGUAAAUUAUGCAGACUGUGGUGUUGCCUGGACUUCGGGUCCAGGCAGUGCUGUAGCGUAGGUGUUAAGUCUGCCACCUGGGGAGUACGGCCGCAAGGUUGAA